UGAGCUGGGGGUUUGCACAAUCCCGCCGGGACACGCACAUUAUCCAUGGCUGCAGCUCCCCGGGGGGACCCUCCCUCAGCCCUGAGCGGGGUCUGUCCCCCCAGGGCGCUGCACUCCCUCCCCGGCCUGCUGGGACAUGGGGAUAUCUCUCUGUCCGAGAUCUCUGCUGCUCAGGCAGGCUGAGGAGCAGCCCUUGCCUUUUUCCCCGGGCCUCCUGGGCCCACGGAGGGGAGGGAUGAGAGCUUCACCCAGCCUGGCCGCUGGGUGUGUUGCUCCCAGCAAAUCCCAAGGGCCCACAGAGCCUCCGAGGGGUUGAUCCAGCAGCUUGGAGAAGUUUGGGACAAACACUACACUCAGGGCAUUCCUUGGCAUCACCUCAGUUCCAGGAUCAGUGUGGCAGCAGGUUUAGCCUUGCUGCAUUGCUGAUUCUGAAGGGCCAGAGCUCCAUGGCACUGCCUGUGUCUCUGCACAUGGCCCUGGGUGAUGAGUUCCAGACACAGGAUAAGGAGGAGGAGCCACAGCCAAGUCUUGGUUUCUCAGACAGGUUCCUGAUGAUGGGAAUGAAGCACAAGCUCCACUGCUCUGCAGGGUGAAGCCCAGGGAUGGCUGUGCUGUACAGACCCCAGAGGUUUAGGUCAUGAAGAGGCCAGCCUGACCCUCCCACAUGUGAGUUCAUUGUGUUGUUGGAGUCUGUGGUGCUUUCUUCCCCUCCCUAGAACCAUUCCAGGGUAAGUGGUUGUUUGACGUUCUGGCAUCACAAAAUAGAUUUGCCACCCCUCAGCAGGUGACCCUGCUUUCAGCCCAGCUUUAUCUGUCCUGCCCUCUUGCAGCCCUUUAGUGCUGUGUGUUCCCAGUGGAGACACAAAGUUUAGUGUAGAACAGGAAUUUGGGGUAGGAGCAGCUCUUGCACCUGCCCAGUGGGAUGGUGAAGGGAAACAGAGGAGCUUGGUUUCCACAAAUGGUGAUAAAACACUGGUGAUAAAACUCUGUGUGAUCAGAUUUAUAGCAGCCACAUAGGAGGACAGUUGGAUGUGGAGGAUUUCUCACUGCUAAUGGCAGUGGCUUUUAUUUUAAGCCUGUUCACUUUUUUUUUACAUUAAAAAUUUUAUUACAAAAAAAUGUAACAGUAAGGCAGUUGUCAGUCACUGUGAGCCCAGACAGUUUUCAAUCAUGUUUAAUACAAAACUAGAUUCACACAGGAGCCACACUGGGGAUCCAAAAGCCCUCUGAGAAAUGAUGGGAUAAGGCAGAAGCAGCAGCACCAGUGUAAUCCCUUACACAGUCAGCAUUGGAGGCAUGGACACCACUGCAGUGGAGGGAGAGGAAAUAGAGAUUGUCUGCAGUUUAAAAAUCUAAGCCAACCCUGUUGUCACAAUCUGGAACAUUCCUGAUAUGUCCCAGCAGACUGGAGAUUUAAUUUUGAGAGGUUAUUUUUUUUUCUUUAACUAAGUAAAAUUUUCUAUUGUCAAAAGUAGAAAAUUCUUUCCUGAAGAAUUAUCUGUGAGUGAUUCACUGCUUUAAAAGUUGUGCAGCAGAACAUUUGUACUCCCCAAGCAGUGCCUGAGACUGAUGCUGUUUAACACUGGAGUACUCACUGGUACUGAGGUGAGGGAGGGAACUGCUGAGCAAAAUUCUCCAAUUCUGGUUUUUUUUCAUGCUUUGGUGACUGUUGAACAGAAAUGGGACAGCAAGAGCAAACCAGGUGUUUUCCACACCAGUUCCUGAUGGCAAUACAGGGAUUUUGUUUUGUGCUCCUUUACUAGGUAGAACUGGCCUCUCUACAAGCAUUUCUGGAUGCCCCAAAGGCAGAAUUCCCAACUGCUCCCCUUGUUCAUUGUCCCCCUUCACCUGCAGGGAUGUGGUGGGAGGUACCUGCAGCCAUGGUUAUCUUUUUGGAGCUUAACAAACUAAGAGAUGGGAAAGAGAAAAGAGAGAACCAUGGGUAGGAAGAGAGACAGAUAAAACGGUGAGAAAACUCAGGUAGGCACAAAUCUUAUGGGUUUGGGGUCUUUUAAAUUAUUACAAUUUGGUGCUCAAAGAUUAGCUCUGCUAAAGCAGUUCUGGGGUGAAUUUAUUUAGAUCAGCUCCUGCUCUUGGUGAAUGAGCAGUGCAGAUGUGAGGUGGGACUGUGCAGACUUUGUGUUCUCACUUUAUGGAUGGACCUUGUUUUCCAGCUGCCAAAAGCCAGGCAAAGUUCAGGAAGGUACAGGGCUAAGGAGGGGCAGAUCUGUGGGUCCCACUGCUACCAGGCUCAGUAGAAAUUUAACAAAUAUUUUCCAGCAAAGACCUUUUAAAGUGUCUUCUGAAAGUAUGCAGUUCCUCCAACUAUAGUACCUUAAACUGCAUUCCCAGUAAUCCAGAGGUAUUUCUAGCACAUUUAACAAUAGGUUUUGUAUGUUUUGGCUCAACUGUCAAGAUUUUAUUGAGGCAGAAAAUCCAAUUAACCAAAAUUGGAAUUUUUCCCUUGGUAAAGACUUCAGGCUUGACCCCUAAAUCAGUAAAAUCAUCAUCAUCCAGAAAAUUGGACUGUUUAGGUAAAGGCAGGUGCAGCUUCCUUUGAUUUCUGUCCUCAUGCUAGUGAGAUAUUUGGAUAUUUUGCUAAAAAUCCUCCUGUGGAAGGGAAAGGGUUCAGGAAAGUGAGCCUGCAGCUAAAAAAGGUUCAGGACUAUAAAUAGGCUGAGGGUUUCUCCUGAAACCUUGAGAGCUGGGAGGAAGACAAGGGCAGGGAGCAUUCUGUGAGGACUCUGUGUUACCUCAGCACCUGAAGUCUCAGAACCAAUUUGAAAUUCCAGUGUCCUAAGGCACGACAAUUUUGAUUAAUGAAGGUGGGAACAUCCCCAUCCCCACUGCCCAAGGAGCAGAGGGAAGAGCUGGCUGCCAGGACAGAACAAAAGCAGCAUUUGUUCUUGUGGACAAACAUUGCAGAAGAGGAGGGGAGAUGGGCUGUGGGUGUUCCCAGGCUGCUCUGACACUGGGGAAGCACCCUGACUCUGCCUGUGGAACUGCUGGCUCAUGUGGUCAAGAUUCAGAGCCAAAUUCUCCACACAGGCUGAGAAGGAAGACAAGUUUAAAAAGUGGGGCUUUUGUGGAAGUGGAAAACCAGACUAGAACAUGCUAAUAAGCCUGUUUUCCAGCAAAGUAAGCCUGCAGUGGUCAGGCACUCUAGGAAAGCAAAGAGUCAAAUGUGUGGGAAUUGAAGAAUAGCAAAGGGUUUCAUUCAGCAUUCCUUAGAAGGGAGCCCUCCCAGGCAAUGAUCCUGCCCUAAGCCUGACAGGUGUGAGGAGGACUCCAGACAACCCCUGGCUGCCCACACUGCUCAGAGGGAUGAUGGUGACAGGAACACCACACACAACACCACUGUAAGUUGUGGCCCUCAUCUGUAUUUAUCUGUAUUUUGUCCAUUUUUUUUGUUUCAGUAACACUUGUCAGCCUCGCUAUUUUCUGUUGAUAAACCUUGGGGGGGAUUUGGAGGGAACCAAAAGCACAUUUGUCCUGUCCGCAGCUGAGCUGGGCGGGGUGAACCUGUAGUGGAGUGUUUGUUAGUCAGUUGUAAACUGGCAGGAAUGUGCAGCUGCACCCCUGAGUGCUGGGAGCCCAGGCUGCCUCAUUCCAGCUCCGAUAACGUGCACGGCCGGCGGAACUCCUGUCCCCGCUCGUGGAGCCACUUAUUGGAGACUGCAAAGACACAAAGGCACUGCAUCACUGCACUGCUCAGCUCCUCCUCUGCUAAAUGUGCUCUAGGCCAGCUUCUGGUUAAGCACAGGGUUAUCUUAAUUUUCUAGAGGGUUUUAAUCACAGAACAGCUUGGGUUGGAAGGGGCCUUAAAAGACUCUCUCAUUCCAACCCCACUGCCAUGCACAGAUCUGUGAAGUUAGUCUAAUAAAAUUAACCAACCAACCAAAAACCCUUCCAGUAUAGCUGCAAAGCUACAAAAACUCUUAAAGUAGACAUAGCUAUGAAAACUCAAAGUAGACAUAGCUACAAAAACUCUUAAAAUAGAUACAGUAUUAAUUUCCUUUAUACAUGUAAUGAAAUAUGCUGCUAUAUAGUAUAUAUUUAACAUAUAGAGAGAUAUGAGGUAGAUAAAGUAAAUUAAAUACAAAUAUUUCUUUACAAAGAAUGUAAUUUCUGAAAUCUAAAGGAAAAAUAAAGCCAAGCCACCCCCCAGCAGAGCCCAGACUCAGGUCAGAGGCAGGUACUCACCCCAUUUAUUCCCCACUAGCACCGGGCAGGCUGCGUGCCGCGUGCUGUAAUCGCCUUCUCCACUCGGGAAGAGAUUGUACCAGAACACAGCUGUACCCUGGGAAUGGCAGGGACACUCAGCCCUGUGCUCUGUAUCACACAAUCACACACCAGAGAUUGUACCAGAACACAGCUGUACCCUGGAAAUGGCAGGAACACCCAGCCCUGUGCUCUGUACCACACACACAGUCACACACAGAGAUUGUACCAGAACACAGCUAGCACAGCUGUACCCUGGGAAUGGCAGGGACACUCAGCCCUGUGCUCUGUACCACACACACAGUCACACACAGAGAUUGUACCAGAACACAGCUGUACCCUGGGAAUGGCAGGGACACUCAGCCCUGUGCUCUGUACCACACGCACUAAGGCAAAGGUAAGUGCAUUGUGUUUCAGAGCCUCCUUUUAAACUGAAGGCUCUUUUCCAUAUUCUUAUUCUUAAGAAAAAGUCUCCUUUGACUUACUGUAUAUUUGUAUACUUGGCUUUUCGUUUUUUUCUUUUAAAUCCUAAACCAGUUUCAUUCCUGACCAGUUUAAGAAAGCCAAGAUUAUUUACUAAAGCCGAGCAGCAGGCCAGCAAAGGCAAACCUUGGUUGAAGGAAAAAACUGACAGGAGAAUUUCCUACAGAUGCCUCAAGACUAAGUCAACUCACAGGUUUGAGUAUUUUCAAGAUGUGUUUUGGAGUAUUUAAGUGUUUUGCAUUUGUAUCCACACAUGGAAUAUCAGGGACCUUUGAAUCACCAGCACAGCUCCAGUUGCUGCACUUAUGGAAAAUCACAGCACUGUUCUGACAGCACAGAGGUGCUAACAGUUAUUUUAAAGGUUCAUUUUCAAGCUCUGCUCUGUGUGGGUAGUGGGGAGGAGUGGAUUUAUCUGCUGGAUGAAUCCUGCUCACCUUUCUCGGCCAAACGCUGGCUCCCACUUCAGGGAAGACCGUGGCUCCCCCUGCUGACACAUCACUCAUCUGAACAGGUGGGGAAGGACAGGUGAGUUCAGGUUGAUAAAAUCUCACUUUUUAGUGAAAGUUUAAUUUUGACAUAAAUCUCUUAAGAAGGCCAAACUCCCUCUGUUCCCAGUGCAGUCCCAGCCUCGUCCCUCCCACUCGAGUGUUAAGGCAAUGAACAUGCUGUAAACACUGACGCAGGUACAAAAACAAGGCAAAUAACUUAAGCUAAUGCUCAAAUUUGGGGGGAAAAUCCUCCUUAAGACACAUGGAAGAACCACAAAGUCUGGGUAAGAAGACCCUGCCAUAUGUACUACCCCAAAGUUAGAGGCUGCUUCACCUGCAAGUCCCUUCAGUAAAACAGAAUGAAAGAAAAGCAGAAUGAAAUCAUUCCAUGGUACAGAUUAUACAGUGACAGAUGGCAGAAAUGUAUCACUUACAUAAAACAACCAAGUAGCAAUUCUGUUGCCUGUUCCCAAUUCUUUAAAGGCAUCUGGCUCAUCUUUCUGUGAACAAAAGCAGGCAGAUUCCAUCAGCAUUUCUUUUUGGUUGCUGAGAGCAGCCAAUGACACACAGCUGCUGAGCCAGCAGCACAGAACAGACUCAUGCAGAAGAAUUAAUCCAACCCCUCGAUUUGGAAGGAGGGGAGGAAUGCAACAGGAGUGAAUCUAUCAAUUUAAAUAAACCAGGCACUUUGAAUUUCUAUAGGAUAGGGAGGGAGGGCAUUAAGCCCAGAUUUCUAAUGGGUAACAACAACUGUGCUGUCUGAGGCUGAGGCUAUAAAUCCUCCUCACAGCAAACUGAAUUAUUUAAUUACACUCAUCCCCCUUGUCCUUGGCAGCAGCCAGGGCAGCUCUCAGUCCCAGGGUCAGCUGGGACACCUCCCUGCCACACUCCACUCUGGAUUCCAGCUGGGAAGCAGGGAGGAAGCCUCAGUGACAAACUAGGCAACUAAGGAGUGUCCAGCACUCCACUUACAAGAAUGAACCACAUUUUGAUGAGUUUUGAUACCAACUUCUGUCAUACCUCUGUUUCUAAACCCACCCCCUGUGACCACACUUCGUGAGCACUGAAAUUCCAGCAAUUGUUACUCCUGGAAACAGCCCCAGUGUUUCCAAACAAAACAUGUUAAUCACUUGCAAUGCCUUGGAGCAGGUGCUUACAGAGCAGAGAUCCUGAUUCAGAAUUGGUGGCUGGAACUGGCAGGGUUAAGGUUAAUCUGAAGGGGUUAAACCACACAGAAUUAUGUCCAGUAAAUAACCAACUGAAUUUCAGCAGUCUGCAAUUUAAGCUGGAAUAAAACAGGUGGGGAAUUCAAAUCCAAUUUAAAAAUUAAGGACAGUGAGUCCUUAAUUCCCAGUUCCAGUUGUCAGGAGACUGCUGGCACUCAGCUUACAGGUAGCAACCUCCAGCUGGUUUAGAGGGCUUUCUCCACAGACAUGGAUUAGCAAAGUGGAAGAGCUACAAAAUUUAAUAGACAUGGAAGAACAGAGAGUGUGCCCCAGCCCAGAGGCCCAGGCUUCACCAGGUCUAGCUCUCCUCCAGCUCUUUACUUGCCCGUGCAAAGUCAAAGUGGGGCUCAUAUUGUCCUCCCACUCCAUAAUUUGCCACCUGAAAAAGAGAAACACAGCACUUGUGAAGAAGAAAGAGUGAAGACAAAGCAGGACUUACCCUUCCAAAAUCAAAAUGAGGCUCAUACUGGCCUCCUACGCCGUAGUUGGCUACCUACAGUGGGAGGAGAAGCACAGGAUCUAGUAAAUCAGUCUUUAGGCAGGCAAGAGUUUGGCUGUCAGCUACAGCCUUUGCAGAGAUGAAGUUUAAACACCAAGCCCCAGGAAAUGUCAAGCCUCUGUCAGCAGGAGGAGCACAUCCAAGAGUGGCACUGCAGGAUGCUCCAGGUAAGAAUCUGGUGCUUCCCAGGGCAGAAAAGCAUUUUUCUUCUACAGAAAACUUUUCAGCCUCUCUCCAAAAUGGUGUCACAGUGCUUUUACAUCAUCACGUUGAAACCACUUUUUGACCUGAAUUUGGCUGUGUCAAUAAAGAGGGUUCUCUGUCCUUCUUACCAAUUGGUUACAAAAAAUAACAAAUUUUCCCCCAGAUCCUUGGCCAUUUUAUCACCAGGAACCUUGACAGAGUGGCAAGGAGCACAGCAGGUUCCAGAAGUACUUUGUGGGUGUCCUGCUUUCUAGGUACUCGUGCUCUGCUCACAGUCAGGGAGGCAGCUGCUCAUUUAAAGGCCUCAAGCAAAUAAACAGAAGCACUUCUAAAUUGCACUUUACUCAAGUUACACAUCCAGCCAGUGUUUCCCACAUCCCAGGGACACCAGACACUGGUGGCCUCCCCUGAGUUAAACUUUUAAGUGCCUCCAACAGCAGCAAAGUUUGACCCUGUGACCAUGAAACUCAGUUUAUUGGACUAAAUAAAAGGAAGUAGUUCCUAAAAAGGAACUACACAUCCAGAGUUUCAGUUAUCAGUUUAUCACUGUUCUUAUAUAUCAGUUACUCAGUUAUCACUGUUUCCUUCCAGCCCAAAAAGCCAUUCCACACUGAACAGCUGCUCUGCAAAGACAGCGUUUUCUCCCCUUCUGUAAAUAAAUGAGUUUUUGUGGCCACCUCACGUGAGCAAGCACAAGAAAUGGUGCUGGCACCCAGCCCCAAGCCCAAGCUACCCCUUACCUGCAGCUCCUCUGCAGUGGAGACAUCCAGCCCUGUGAGGUCCUGGAUCCUGGUGUUGAUGCGGGACACCACCGGGCUCUCGUAGCCCGAGAGCCACGCGCUGCGGGGGGACAGUUAGUGACAGCACCAACACUUGCAGGCACUUGGAAUGGGAAAUUGCUUUUUAGGACUUCUCAAGGAUUUGGUGGCAUGACCACAAGUAUUUCCAGGGUGUUAAAACCCUCUGAAUUUAAUGAAUGCAUUUCUUAGAAAGACCAAUUCCAGCAGGGGUUUAAGGGAGCUCUGUAACCAAGGGCCUGAAUUCCCCCACUGGGCUGAAGGAAGUGUCACAAACAGUGCUUCAAGCUGAUUUUUAAACCAGGCACACACAGUUUUGCUCUUUCCCCGCUCCCAACAGCUCAUUCAGCCCCUGGGGUGAUGCAUUUUGAAGCAAGGUUUGGGACAGGAGCAGGUGAGCUACUGUUUCUGUCUGUGCAGCUGGAACUCAGCUCCCCCACAUCCCACACCUCCAGGCCAGCUCUCUGGGAGCUGCCCUUUCUCAUCAGUUCCCCCUGCAGAGCUACUAAAGACCAUUUGGAAAACAACCAAAUAAUGCAUUAAAUGGAACAAUUGCUGUCAGAACAGCCCAUUAUAACUCUGGUAUUUAGCACAUGCUUCAGGUACACAAUGAUUUUUAAAGAGGGGGAACCCAAACUAACCUGCCAUUUAUUUUAUUUUUUAUGUGGAAGGUCAGCCUCAGUUCCAAAGGCAUCUUUCAGAAUGUUUGCCUCCUACUGUGUAUUAGACUUUUUCCACAGCUGCUCAUCUGACUCAUCCCAUGCCAGUCACUGCACCUUCAUUUUACCUGGCAGCCCCCUGCACUAAUAUGGGUGAUAAUAUUGGUGAUUUGGGGCUUGUUUUCCCCCCCUUUUUUUUAGCAGGAAAACGGAGAUAGGUAUUUCUACCUUUUUUUCUAGCAGUUGACUCAGCUUUUGGGCUCAGCAGUGCUUCCUGCUGGACAGAAAUCCCUGUGCCCAGAGCCCAGAAGGAAACUAUCAGCAGCAUCCAUGUAUUUUUACUCAAAUCAACCUUCACAUCUAUACUAAAUUAAGUUUUUAUAUUGACUUGCAUUAAAAAAAACAUAAAUCCCCAAAUACUUUGCCUGGGAGGAACAGUAGCAUGACACAUGACACAAGGCACUGACACAGGUUACAGAAUCUCUACGAGCAUUUUUCUGAAUGACAAAUGAACUAUGAAAUAAAAGAAAUCUGAUUUCUUAGGACAGACAUGCACAAACACAUCCCUAGGCCCACUUGUUAGUACCAGGAGGUGUUACAGCACAACCUGCUUUGAUUUCAGGUGGCAGAAGAAUGCUAAGACAUGGAUAUGAAGCAUUCACCAAACAAAAAUCCCCAGAAGCAGCCAUGCCACACAGCCAUGGUGACGAGGUUAUGCUCACAAGCAGCCCUAACCAAGAAGAGCACAAGAAGAGCCCCAACACACCCAGCAGCUUCAGUGUAGGCCUUUUCUGCCUCUGUCCAGUCUGUUAAUAAACGAAAAAACCCAAGAAACCCAAAGAAAGGAAAACCCAAGCAUUCUUGCUCUGUUGGUUAUUAGAUGGCAAUGAAUACUGCAGCCUUUCAGGAAGGGGAGUACUGUAUGUAUUUUAGAAAUCAAAUUAACAGCCUCCACAUACAAAGAAAGCCUAUGAAAGGUGGAGAAACAGGGAAUUGAAACCAUAUUCCAAGUGCCAGCCUGUCUGCUGGGUGCUGAGCAAAACCACAGGGAGGCCUGGAGUGCUGCAGAGGAACAGGGGAUUUAACCCUGGAGGUGCCAUGCCAGCUGCAGCCUGGCCUCAGAAUAUUCCAGCUGUCUCACACACCCUCCUCUGCUGCUGUCCCAGCUUGAUCCCUUGCUGACAAACGUCUCUGCCUCAUUCAAAACAAUUUCUUCACACAAAGUUGGCUUUUUUUCCCUGCCCUUGUCUAUCAAAGAAAAGAGGAAGACUCCCCUGGCCAGUGGUGUAGGAGGUGCAGCAUUAACAGCCUUAAACAUGCUCAGCAGUUUGCUUUCUUUUAAUAUUUACAUACUUCCAGAUUCACUGCAUGCUGUCCUAUUUCUGACCAGCUGUCACCUCUGAGUCUGCGAUGGGCCUUAACAAAAAAGGGACAAUUCCUGGGAAGCCACAGGCAGGGCAGGUCAAGAUAUCACUGAUUUAGUUACAGACGGGUUUGGUAUUUCCUUAAUAACCACCACACAACCCCCCAGUUCCCUGACCACACAAGUCUGGUGUUUUGCUGACCCACUUGGCUUUGUAAAAAGCCAUCCCUGAACUGUUAUAAAAAAUUUAAUGCUUCCAUUAGUGUGCUGAAUUCACACUGGGGAGGCUUUUAACAACUUUGAUAUGCAUCACAGACAGUCAGGAAUAAUCAUAUUGACUCAUGGAAUCAAGACAUGGCUUGGUUGGGAGGGACCUUAAAACUCAUCCCACUACACCCCUGCCAUGGGCAGGGACACCUUCCACUGUCCCAGGCUGCUCCAAGCCCAUCCAGCCUGGCCUUGGGCACUGCCAGGGAUGGGGACAGCCACAAAAUGUCCCAUGGUCCUCCCUCUUCUAAUUCUGCAUGAGGCACCUCAGAGAUUUUGAAUGGCAGAUGCUUCCACACAUAAUUUAAGGUCUAAGGAGUACAUUAAGGAAAAACCAGAGAAUCUCUGGAGCUACUGAACACACAAGAGUACAUCCCCUCCAGAUCUUAUCUCCUCAGCUGCACUGGUCAGUCUAGGAGAAGACAUUACAUCCCAACACUACUUCUGUAGGUCACUGGCCACAAAAUACUGGGAUUUGUGUUUAAAAGCCUUCUAAGCCACACUUGGUGUGCAGAAAAAUACCAGCAGAGACACAACAGGGAGUGAGUAAAAGCCAGGCUGGUAUUUCUGAAAUGGAAACUUUUAGCAUAACAUGCUGCAAGCUCUGGCUGCCUGCUGGGAGGAGAGGGAAGGGGAAAAAGGAGUUUUUAUCUGUAAAAGCAGUGUGUGAGUGGGUGGGUUUAUCCUGGUGCUGCACACCCUGGCAAGGUGCCUCCCUACACAGAGCUGCCACGUCCCACCAAGGGAACAGUAGCUCUCUCAGAGGCAGGAAUGCUGUAAAUUUAGGAGGGCAUGUGCUGGAAAGGAAUGUUUGGAGGGGGAAAGCAGUCAUCUAUUAAAAAAAUGAAGUGAGCAUUUUUUGGUUUUCAGGAGCAAUGAUUCAUCUGGAAUCUGAACCAGCUCGAGCAGCUCCAAGGGAAAGAUGUUUCUGGCAGUGCAGGAGGGCAGCAGGAACAGCACAGGGCCUCUCAAUCAGGCUGCUGGGGGUGGCUUCUGCCUCCCACUGCAGAGUUAGGUGUCAGGUUCUCUUGGGAAGUCCAUACCCAUCCUGCAAAUCUGCACAGGAGGAAAGCAAAGGCAGGGCAAGCAGAAGCUGCACACCAAGGCUAUUCCUACCCUCAAAAAAUGCCCUUGCCCAACUUCUUGGAUGUGUCCCUACAAUUUUAAUUCCAGUUUCCAGUGACAUACUGAAUUUAAAAAUUUAGCUCAGUAAAAUGUGAUUGAAUUUCUGAGAGUUCUUAGGUUCAUUGGAAGGAAGUCCCACAUUUUUGAGCACCAAACCUCAUUAAGAAUUUAAGGGUCCCAUUCCCCAGGCUCUAUCCUGUUUUGUUUUUUUUUUUAAUUGGCCUUUAAUACUGGGUGGUGCCUUGUACUAUUUUUUCUGACUGUGGCAUCUGCACUACCUCAGGGAAUAACACUUCCUACUAAUGAAAAAUCACAACUUGAAAUAAAAAGUUCUUUCACUAAGCCUCAUCUAUUUAAGUAGGGACCAAUUAUACAUCCCAAUUUCCUCAGUAAACUGGUCAACUUCUCCAAUUCCCAUCAUUAGCACAGCAAGUUUGACAUGAGGCGAUGUUCAAAAGGAUGAAGGAGUUUCCUCAGUAAAUACUCCAGAGCUGUCUGCACAGAGGACAAACGCCACAAGUGAAUAAAUUCCAAAUAUGCAGUGACAAAUAACCAAGACAGGUAAGACAUGGACAGACCUGAACAUUAAAAACAAGAAAUAAAAACUAAAUGCAACACAUGUCCAACAGGAAGAUGGAUGCUCCUAAAGCCCUUCCAUGGGGUCAGUUUUAAGGAGCAAACAUGUAAGAGUUUCCCAGACAAUUUCCAGAGGAUUUCCACUACCUGCAUGUGCCAAUGAGCACACAGACCCACGUGCUGCAAAGGUGUGAGGCAUUAAAAAAAAUUUUUUUCAACUUGUCACUAGAAUGGCCUUAAGGACCUUGGUUUUCCAAUUCUCUUGAGACUUAUCAUUCCUGAAUCAGUCACCUUCCUGUGAGCCCACAUUUGGAAGCACUUUUACCUUUCUGAAGCAAUUCACAGCUAAAUUAAAGCCCUUCAGCUCCAGGCCAUUCCAAGUUCAGGGGUUUGUCAAAACAGCUGAAAGAACACUUAAUUUCUAUUCUACCUUCCACCAUUCAACCAUGGAAAUCCCUUAAAAUCAUCCCUAGCUUUAGUGGGCAGUCCUCCCAGGAAUGACAGCAGCUCCCAGCUCUGAGCAAGGGUGGGCACUGAGGAGCAGGGGUGAGCCAGGCAGGUGCCCCAUUGCACUGGGUGCCAGCAGAGCCCCAUGCCCAUGUUUAGUAGGUUAGUGACAGCACACAAGCCAUGCUCAGCCAGAGAGGGCACUUCCACCUUGGAAUGCCACCACUGACAACCAGUCCCUACUUCAGCAGUCCCCGUGCUUUCUUAGGUGACAGCUCAGCUUGCUUGGGCCCCUCUCUUUGAAAGAAAGGCUGAAGAAUAAGGAGAGUUACACAGAAUGCUUGUGCUGAAGCAGCACAGCCCCAGGACACACUUCCUCAAACAAGGAAUCCCUUCCCCUUACCUCUUAGAGACUCUGUAAUGUGCUGUGGUCAGUUUCCCAGUCUCAGGGUCAUGAACAGUAGCACGGCUCAGCUACAAAAAGAGAAAGGACAAGGCUUACCCACCUUGCAGGCUGCUUUUGGCCAAGCCCCAGGUGUUUGAAAGGUUCCGGUUGGUCCGGAUGCGAUGCUCGCAUAUUAGCAAUGGUUGGAAGGGCAACACAAGCUGCAGCUGCCAUGUCCAAAUCACAACAAAUUGGUUGCAAUAAUUUGGUUAGAUUGUCCUUUCACUUUUUUCCUCCCUUUAUUAUUUUUCCUCCUUUUUUUUUGUUUGUUUAAAAUCAAGACUUUCUACAAGUAAUUUAUGAUGCUGAGUUUCCCAGACAAUUCCUCCUCGCCCAGAAGCUUUAACUCCUCCCAGAAUUUUGGCUCAGUGCUGAUGGCCUGUGCAGCCAAUCUUUAAUUACCAUGGCUAAAACCAACGGAGGGCAAGCAGGGGCAGGUGGUUUCUUUCAGAUCCAGCCAAUUUUGGAAAGCACUGGCUAAAUUCAGCUCUUGUAGUACUUAAUGGACAAGCUGAAAAGAACCAGGAGCCCGGUGGAAGCGAGCCUGCGUUCUGCCAGGUUUGUGUCAGGCAGGAGGUAAAGGAGCUCAGCUGGGAGUGUGGGAUUAUCCUGGACAAGGAGAUGUGUGUCUGUGUGCACAGCAAGGACCUGAAGCAUUUCUUACACCCAUUAAGGCAUUUUGAGAUCUGCUUCAUUUUCCAAAGAAAGGGAAGACAAUUCCUGGUUGUGAGAAGGAGCAAGGGGGAAGGAAUGUAUAGAUUAAAAACAAACCCCAGAUUUUACUGAAGGUUUUGUGACAUCUUGUAUUUUUCACACUGACUACAGAGACUUGCUUGAAAAAACAGACUUCAGAAGGCGACCAAAAGGGAAAGAACAAAUCAAAACACGCCCCCAGAACUUCCAGCUGAAGGAAAAGACUGAGAAACUCAACAGCACCAGCCUGUUACAGAUCUGCAGGGAAUCACAAGGUGGACUGCAAGCUGUCUCUCCAGCCCAUCUGGUUUCCUGACAACGAGCAGGAUGUACACACUGAUGGCAGGCCCAAACCUGUGGCAGAGCUCUCUUACCUUUUGCUAAUUCUGUAAUGUGCCGUCUCCAAGGCUCCCGUUAUGGGGUUUGAAAUGGUGGCUCGCCUCAGCUGUGAAGCGAACCAUCAGAAUUGCAUUACAAGCACAAUCUGCAGCCCAGCACUCCGACCACUCAGAAGCCUGGCCUGGGGACAAUGCCACCACCCUGGCACCUGCCCUGUCCUGCAGGGCCACAGGGAACCAGGGCAGGCUCCAGCUUUACCAAAAAAAGAUUUCUUGUUUGGGUUUUUUAAGGUUUUCCACAAGUCCUGUUUCCAUGUUUGUAGUGAGAAUGGUUGUCUGAAUAAAGCAAACUACAGCA